rnacentral:rRNA from 1 species
AACGAACGCUGGCGGCAGGCUUAACACAUGCAAGUCGAACGCCCCGCAAGGGGAGUGGCAGACGGGUGAGUAACGCGUGGGAACAUACCCUUUUCUACGGAAUAGCUCUGGGAAACUGGAAUUAAUACCGUAUACGCCCUACGGGGGAAAGAUUUAUCGGGGAAGGAUUGGCCCGCGUUGGAUUAGCUAGUUGGUGGGGUAAAGGCCUACCAAGGCGACGAUCCAUAGCUGGUCUGAGAGGAUGAUCAGCCACAUUGGGACUGAGACACGGUCCAAACUCCUACGGGAGGCAGCAGUGGGGAAUAUUGGACAAUGGGCGCAAGCCUGAUCCAGCCAUGCCGCGUGAGUGAUGAAGGCCUUAGGGUUGUAAAGCUCUUUCACCGAUGAAGAUAAUGACGGUAGUCGGAGAAGAAGCCCCGGCUAACUUCGUG